ensembl:lncRNA
GAACAGGCAGGUGUCCCCCUCCUAUUCCCGUCUUCCUCACUUCUCAUGCCCAACGAAGUGCAGCAAGCACUGACGGAUAUCUUGUCUGCUUUCCCUUUGAGCCUAGUCCCUCUCUUUCUCUGGCUCCUGUGCGCUUGCUUUCUUUCGUUUUUCCCAGCCCCAUCACUUAUUCAUGGAACAGGUUCAACUCCCAGCACUGAUGUCUGGAAACGACGCGUGGACACAGAAGUGACAGUGGGUGGUUUCGAGAGUGGCCAGCGUGGAUAAUAGCAGCCGGGCAAUGGAGCCACACAACAAAAAGGAGAGCCAGAACAAAGCCCGGCAAUUACAGUAAGAAAGAACUCAUCGCUGUGGGGCAAGGUGGACAGCACAGAGCCACGCUCAUCUUACACAGCUCUCACACAGACACGCAUGCUGGCAAAAGGCAUCCAGCCCAUCAGGAGCCUCUGAGAGGAAACAGGAUGGGGAAUUCCAAACAAAGAGACAGGGAAAUGGCGUGCAGGCGUCAGCACCGGAGACCAGGUACAGUUGGGCUGUAACCUCUCCCGCCGACCCCUCGUGACAAGACAGAUAGCUCCAUUCAUCUGCAACUGAGCAGCAGGGCGGUGCUGCAUUUUUCACCCCCGGCCCAGGAUGGAUCUGCUCGCCAGGAGGAAUGUCACCAGCCUGAAUGCCCUGAUCUGUCACAAGUCCACCAUCUUCACCUGAAUCACAGCACCGCAGACAGUUCGAGAGAGAAUCGGAGGAGAGAUAGAGACGAGCAGUCAGACGAUGACCAUUUUCCAGAAAGAACAACAGAUCAUGCAAAGCAUAUAUACUGAUCUGCUUUUAGCAACUACACAUUUCUCAAAUGUAAAAUGAAAGAACUGCUUCCAAUCAGUGACAAUGAUAGUAAAACAUAUUGCUGAAAAUGAUUUUGCCGCUGCAAUUGCAUACUGAUGCUAUUAAGCUCCAGUGAAGGACAGUGAAGUGAUGGAGAAUUAAUCGAGGCUGGUUUUAUCCCGCACUCUGCGCAAUGGCUUCAUAUUGAUCACUGUUUACAGAUAUAAUCACUUUCAGAUUCAUUCUUCAUCAGUAUGGCCUCCUGUAUUGAUUUGGUUUUACUCAUGUCUCUCCAUAAAGGCCCUGCGUGAGUGCAAAACCCAGGGAGAGAAUGUGCGUGUCUCAUAUUUAUGUAUGUGUGUGUGUGUUCAUUCAGGCUGUAAUCCUGUUAUGUUUUAUGAGAUAUCGCUCUUUGUUUCUUUGUGAGUGUACAGUGCAGCACAAAGGUCUCCUCUGCAAGAAAUAAACCCACUUGAGAAGAUAAAAUGUGAUUGCAAAAACAAGCAGUAGCGAUGUUAAGUACAAAAUCAUAACAAUCCGAACAUAAAACUGAAUUGAACUGAUACAGAUGCUUAUAAUGCACACAGAUAUACUGUAUGGACAGAGAAGUGAGUUACUUUUAAAUGAGUGUUCUCUUUUUCGCUUUUCUUUUUUUAAUUCAAUUCAAUUCAAUUCAAUUCAAUUCAAGUUUAUUUGUAUAGCGCUUUUUACGAUACAAAUCAUUGCAAAGCAACUUUACAGAAAAUUAAGUUUCUACAAUAUUUAGUAGUAGCUUAUCAGUGAUGACUGUCAGUUUAUGUGUAUACGGCAGAAAUGUUCAGAAAAAUCAAUAAAAGACGUAAAUAAACAGACGAUUAACACUAUUAACAGCAAUUAUGCAAUCAAACUUAGAGCAAAAUGUGGUAGUUCUGUAUGUUGUCUCUGGGUUAGCAUCAUCUGAGGUCCUCUGAGGGGUUGGCAUCAUCUCUUCUCAGGUGUUCUGGAUCCAGACUGGAGCUUGUGUAAAUCCUAGUUACCACAGGAUAUAAAUCCCGUGGCAAAACAGAGAAACAAAUAAAGACAUAAUUAGCGUAGCUGCUGUUCCAGCCAAGUAAAAUUAAUUAGUUUAACCCAAGUUAAAGAAUAAUAAUGCGCAUUUGAUCGGAUAUAACUGCAGUCCAAAAUUAUAAGAUGCAUUAUUUGAAUGCUUGGCCAAAAAGGUGUGUUUUUAAUCUAGAUUUAAACAGAGGAAGUGUGUCUGAACCCCGAACAUUAUCAGGAAGGCUAUUCCAGAGUUU